rnacentral:rRNA from 1 species
GAUGAACGCUAGCUACAGGCUUAACACAUGCAAGUCGAGGGGAAACGACAUCGAAAGCUUGCUUUUGAUGGGCGUCGACCGGCGCACGGGUGAGUAACGCGUAUCCAACCUGCCCAUCACUUGGGAAUAACCUUGCGAAAGUAAGACUAAUACCCAAUGAUAUCCCACGAAGGCAUCGGAAUGGGAUUAAAGAUUUAUCGGUGAUGGAUGGGGAUGCGUCUGAUUAGCUUGUUGGCGGGGUAACGGCCCACCAAGGCAACGAUCAGUAGGGGUUCUGAGAGGAAGGUCCCCCACAUUGGAACUGAGACACGGUCCAAACUCCUACGGGAGGCAGCAGUGAGGAAUAUUGGUCAAUGGGCGAGAGCCUGAACCAGCCAAGUAGCGUGCAGGAAGACGGCCCUAUGGGUUGUAAACUGCUUUUAUAAGGGAAUAGAGUGGGUCACGUGUGACUUUUUGCAUGUACCUUAUGAAUAAGGACCGGCUAAUUCCGUG